rnacentral:lncRNA from 1 species
UAUGCAAAUUGAUUGCAAAGAAAUCAGAAUAUCACAAGGAAAACUCAUUGUAUCUACAACAAGACUAUUUCCAGUGAAAUUAGCAAGAUAAUAAAUGUCAUUUCAUACUUGAAUAGAAAGGCUAAAUAGCAAACCCCAAAAUAUAAAGGCUUCACAGCCACCAAAAUGUAAAUGCUAGUACACAGCCAUGCCAAAAUAUUAAAAUACUAGUUUGCACGCUUCCAAAUAUCAAAAUAACAACCUGACAUAAGAAGCAACUUGUUCAAUUAACACAAUAUCUUAAGAAACAUCAGAAAAUACCACUUAAUUUCAUGUUUCUCCAUUAUCAGAAGUGGCAGCAAAUCUGUUUGAU